CCCCAUAAUUUUAUAUAUUUUGUUUAUAUAUUUUAACGUAUAUUAAUAUAUUUAAAUAUAAUUUACGGAUUUCAGAAAUGAAUAUGUAAUUAAAAUAUAAUUAUUUUAUUUCAUUUUGAAUACUUUUAAUGAUUUACGAAAUCAAAAUGUAUAUUUGAAUUUUACGUUAAAACGAUUUCGAAUUACGAAACCACGUUCUAUUGAAAUUAGAAAGCAAUACUAAACAUUGUGGAUUCAUCAACCUAAAUCCUACUCCUAGCCCAAUUGGGCAAAGCCCAAACCAAUAAACCCAACUAAAUACUCCCUCCUCUUCUCUACUCUUACGUGAAACCAAAAGAAGAAAAAAAAAUAAAAGAAAAGAGAAACCCUCCUUCAAUUCACGCACAACUCAGCCAUCUCUCCUUCCUCCCCUCCACGCCGUCGCCCACUGCCGGACCACCACCUGCACCGACGACCACCGUCGACCCUCGUGGUAACUCCUUCUUCCUCUCCCUUCUUUCGGUUGUCUUGCCCUGCUCCUCCUCGUCGUUUUUCCCCUCCUUAACGGUGUUAUUGGUUUCACAACACCACCUUUGCGCCUAGCCGCGCCGCUGAGCCACCGCCUUCGCCGCCGCCUCCGCGAGUCUCUUCGCCACCCGCACAACACCACCUUCGUCAGCUCAAUCGACCGUCGCUGCCGCGCCGCAAAGUCUACCGCCGGCCAGCCUCCUCCUCAUUCUCUCCUUGUGGUGGAGAAUUCUCUGUAGGC